CGAAAUCUAAAUCCUUUGAGAGUCUACUAUAGAAAGAAUUAUAAGAAGAAUGAUUCUAGGAGAGGACAGCUGGAAGGGAAUCAAAUGGAGGAUAUGCAUUAGGAAUUUGCGGGUGGCACUCCACAUGGCCCUUGAAUCAAUAUUGCAGCACCUCUCCAGCUAUAAAUAAGAGUUUAUCAGCUGAUACAACAAGCAUUGGGGAAUUUCUUGUAUUUCGGGG
rnacentral:misc_RNA from 1 species